CUGUUCUCCUUGUGGAUGAAGAACAGCGGUGGCACGCUUCUGGUCACUCGCUCCUCGCACUGUGUCCCCGAUCCGCCUGGGAGGCACCUGCACGUGGCCGACUUGCUCUCCUCUACCUCAGCUCGCCGUCCUCCUGCCGUCGCUUAGUGGCAAGACCACCACAACGCCGCUCGCUCUCCUCCCAGAUCUCUGCAGAGCGCCUCCUCCUGGAUGACCCCGCGUGUGCGCCGCCCGCCGCUUCACACGUCAGCGCCGCCACCUUGCUGCCGUCCCGGAGAGCCUCCCGACAGCCACCGCUGGCCUCUCCAUUCUCUCCCACGCCUGGCUGCCUUCCACCUCGCUCUGCUUCUGUAACGCCGCCUCCGCGCCAGCAAGUCCCGACACCGGCGAGCCAUUGCCCUUUGGGUGAUGUGGUGCUCCCUCGUCUGCGCCUGUGGCGGGCCGGCUGGUGCUGGGAUUAGGCGCGCACUGCGGCCUCGGCUACAAUUUUUGACUGGCUAGUCUUGUUUCCGCUCAGGUCUCUUGCGGCAUGUAGUUAAUUGUAGGGCGAUCUUGCACAGUUCUACCUGAUGUACUGCAUAGUCCAAGUCUUUCCAGACGAAUACCAUCUACAGACAUUGGAAACAUUGUUGAGCGCCUUUCCCCAGCUACAGGCUACAUAAGCGACUGUAUUGAAAAUCUAAGGCUCCAACACCCCUUCGCUGACCCCCUGCCUGCCGGGUUGCCGGACAGAAUUUUGUUGAGGCCAACCACAUCACAAACGGCACACAGUCUGGACGAUGAGGAUGGCGUGAAAGACGGCAGUUCCACUCCGAGUAUGUUUGAUGCGAGCACACAAAACCUUUGCCGUUGCGUCCCAACCUCUACUGUAUAUGUCUAACAGCAGGAAUGGAACUAAUGUUGCCUGUUGAUCGGAGGGGGAGAGCCAACGGGAGCGGGAACGAAGUUCACAGGUGGUGGUGCCAUGAUCCUCUUUGAGCCAGGACGGCCCAUCUUUGCCAAGACCCGAUUUCUGCUCUACACGACUCAUGGUCAGAACGCUGCAUGACUUUUAUAGCAUGGCAUUAGAGAUAUGGCGGGAAGAGAAGCGCUCCUCAUUUUGUAUUGGCGCCAACUAAAAAGACAUAAUUUGGCUGAUACGACUUUUUCAAUAUCAAUUGGCGCCAGCUAAACCAUGGUGAUAGUCAAAGAAGGAAAAAUAUUGACCACAGUAUCAAUGAAAGAAGGAGGAGAGAUUGAUCACCGUUUGUUUGAAAGAAGGAAGGUGAUUGAAUGAAUUGAUUGCGUUAGGAUUAA